rnacentral:rRNA from 1 species
CCUACGGGAGGCAGCAGUGAGGAAUAUUGGUCAAUGGGCGGAAGCCUGAACCAGCCAAGUCGCGUGAGGGAUUAAGGCCCUGCGGGUCGUAAACCUCUUUUGCCGGGGAGCAGAGGUCCGGACGUGUCCGGGCCGGGAGAGUACCCGGAGAAAAAGCAUCGGCGAACUCCGUGCCAGCAGCCGCGGUAAUACGGAGGAUGCGAGCGUUAUCCGGAUUUAUUGGGUAUAAGGGGUGCGUAGGCGGGCAGUUAAUCCGGGGGUCCAAUGUCGGGGCUCAACCCCGGCCGGCCGUCGGAACUGGGUGCCUUGAGUGGGCGAGAAGUAUGUGGAAUGCGUGGUGUAGCGGUGAAAUGCAUAGAUAUCACGCAGAACCCCGAUUGCGAAGGCAGCAUACCGGCGCCCUACUGACGCUGAGGCACGAAAGUGCGGGUAUCGAACAGGAUUAGAUACCCCAGUAGUC